rnacentral:rRNA from 1 species
GACGGAAGGUGCAAGCGUUGCUCGGAAUCACUGGGCGUAAAGGGUGCGUAGGCGGCCGUGCAAGUCUGGCGUGAAAGCCCCGGGCUCAGCCCGGGAAGUGCGCUCGAAACUGUCGGCCUUGAGUACCAAAGAGGAUCGCGGAAUUCCCGGUGUAGAGGUGAAAUUCGUAGAUAUCGGGAGGAACACCAGUGGCGAAGGCGGCGAUCUGGGUGGAUACUGACGCUGAGGUGCGAAAGCGUGGGGAGCAAACAGG